rnacentral:RNase_P_RNA from 1 species
GGGUGAAUACUCAGUUGACGGUUCCCCGGAGGGGUUUCCGAACGAAAGUGAGGAUACCUUUAGUGGAGCUGAGGAAAGUCCACCCACCCCUCCAUUCGUGGAGGAAGCAGCCACUCGCGGCAGCGAGUUCCAGCAAUGGACGGCAACGUCACAGAAACGAAACGGCCUUUAAAAUGGGAUGAUGCAGUGAAGCUUCUGGCAACAGAGGUAAGUUAACCUGCUGACGCCUUUAAAGGAUGCGGUGAAACGGGCAGCCCUGGCUGGUGCAAGUUCGCAAAGAACGCUUAGUUAAAUACUGAGGCGGAUGGUCUGAAUAAGCAUCCGACAGAAGGUGGCUUAUUUUCACCC